GGAAGGAUCAUUAUUGAAUAAACCUGACGGGUUGUUGCUGGUUCUCUAGGGAGCAUGUGCACACCUUGUCAUCUUUAAAUCUCCACCUGUGCACCUUUUGUAGACCUGAAAAGGUCUAUGUUGCUUCAUUUACCCCAAUGUAUGUUAAUAGAAUGUUGUGCCUAUAUAAUAAAUAUAUACAACUUUCAGCAACGGAUCUCUUGGCUCUCGCAUCGAUGAAGAACGCA
rnacentral:misc_RNA from 1 species